GCUUGUGAAAACCUAAACAAAACCGAUUCAGAUCUCUGUUAUAGUUAUCGGCGCUUGAAAACCUAAACUAAACCUAUCAAACAAAACCGAUUCAGAUCUCUGAAUCUUCGCCACAUCAACCACCAACAAGACCAGAUCUCGAUCUACCAGAAGAACACUGCUUCAGAUUCAAUUUUUCAUCAUAAUUGGAUGCGUAAGUAGGUAAUUGAAGAAGAUAAAUUUAGAUGAGGAAAGAGAUGUGUUUAGAUCAAUCAUCAAUGCUGUGGAGAAUCAAAGAGUUGAGCUUUUUUUUAUAUGGGUAUGGAGGGACCAGGAAGAAAUAUAUGUGGCAGAUUUUAGCGUCUUACAUGUUCGCAAAAGCAGAUUUGCUUGACAGUUGCUUCAUGCGGAAUAACAUCGUUAUUGCUUCCCGGAGGUCGAACAAUACAUUCAAUGUUCAAAAUUCCAAUAUCAACCUUGAAAUCAUCUACAUGUGGCAUAUAACAAAAAAGUGACCGUGUUGAGCUUCUAACAUUGGAUAAAACACUCAAAGAUAUUAUGACUGAAUCAAAAUUUUCAAAUAAAAUAUUUGGAGGAAAGGUUGUUGUUUUCAGUAGUGAUUUUCGGCAAAUUCUUCCAGUUGUAGCCGGGGUUAGCUGUUCUGAUAUAAUUCAUGCCGCUCUUAAUUCUUCAUA